UCACAGCAGUUCUAAUUCUAAUUCACACUGUGGCAGGAAAUAUGACACACACAGGAUAUGGUUGAAUAAAAAGAAGAUAGCAUUGGAGUUUUCUGUAGAAGCAAAUGCUACACAAACCACCUCAAUGCAACAGAACCUUCUGGUUGCACAUUUGUUGAAGAGCUGACCAUGGAAACCAAGCUGGUCUGUGUCUGGCUGGUCAGCAGACUGAUUCACACGAUCUCAGGAUGUUCUCUAUCUGCACCCGGAGGAGUCACUGGGUACAUAGGAGGCUCUGUGGUCCUGCCUUGCUUCUGCACUGACGGAGGGACAAUACCAAGAUCUGCCAGAUGGCUUUUUCAACCAGGUUCUACCAGUAUCAUACUUCGGUCAAGUGGUGGAGUGCACAACCGCUACAAAGACCGGGCGUUGAUUUCUGACUCCCGUGGAAACAUGUCUCUCCGUCUCUCAGAUCUCACUCUGUCAGAUGGAGGACAAUACAGGUGUGAAGCAGAUAGACAGUUUAAAGACAUCACUCUCACAAUAAAAGGGUGUGUUUUCUCUGAUUCUGGACCCAUACCCAUCACUGGAUUCACAGGACACUCAGUGGUUCUGCCCUGUAUCUGUACUGAUGUGCAGAAGAAACCUGAACAGAUCAAAUGGACUGCAGACCUAGGAAACCAAAACACUGUUAUAUUUCCACAAGAUCCUACCAGUGGCAAUGAUCGCUACAAAAACAGAGUGCAGCUGUUGGACCCUGUCUCCCCUGGAAACCUGUCUCUCCGUCUCUCAGAUCUCACUCCGUCAGAUGGGGGAAUAUACAGGUGUGAAGCAGAUGGACAAUACAGAGACAUCAG